rnacentral:rRNA from 1 species
GUGGGGAAUAUUGGACAAUGGGGGGAACCCUGAUCCAGCCAUGCCGCGUGUGUGAAGAAGGCCUUUUGGUUGUAAAGCACUUUAAGUGGGGAGGAGGCUUACCUGGUUAAUACCUGGGCUAAGUGGACGUUACUCGCAGAAUAAGCACCGGCUAACUCUGUGCCAGCAGCCGCGGUAAUACAGAGGGUGCAAGCGUUAAUCGGAUUUACUGGGCGUACAGCGCGCGUAGGUGGCCAAUUAAGUCAAAUGUGAAAUCCCCGAGCUUAACUUGGGAAUUGCAUUCGAUACUGGUUGGCUAGAGUAUGGGAGAGGAUGGUAGAAUUCCAGGUGUAGCGGUGAAAUGCGUAGAGAUCUGGAGGAAUACCGAUGGCGAAGGCAGCCAUCUGGCCUAAUACUGACACUGAGGUGCGAAAGCAUGGGGAGCAAACAGGAUUAGAUACCCCGGUAGUCC